AUCUACUAAACGGGUGAGGUAGAUCGACUGUUUACGACGCAGACCCAUUUAGACCCAAUCUAAGUGUCUUAUUUCAUGACCGGUUCAUGUUAUGUUUUGUAUCGUUUCAGAAAUUGCCACCCCUAAUUUAAACCUUGUAGUUUUGAUAAUCGUCAACAAAACCCCAUAAACUUUUACUGAUUUUGCACUUAUGUCCCUGGACUUUAAUUUUUAUCCCUAAACUUCUAAAACUUAACAAAAAGUCCUUUUAGUAACGUUUGGACGCUUAAUCAUGCAAAACAAACAUGGAUAAACUUUGAAAGGUUCAGGUAUAUAACCAAUGGAAAAAGGACCUUUUAUGUUAAUCGUAAAAUGCAUGACUUUAUCGUUAAGUUCUAAAAGUUACGGGAUUUGAUCAUGCAAAAAUAAAGUUCAUAGGGUUUCUUCAAAAUUUUCAUUUUUACAUGUUCUAUCCAUUUGUCAUAAUAACAAAACAAACAGGAGCUUCUAGCACUUCGGGAAAGGAUCGGAAGUGUUAGUACUGGUCUGUCGGAGAAUCAGAUUUCAAAGUGUUUAAGAGAGUCGAUAUACUGUUCUUCUGAGCAGCUAUGAGAGGAAGGAACAUGUGUGAUCUGUUUGGAAGAGUAUGCAAAUAUGGAUGAUGUAGGGAUGUUAAAAGGUUGCAAACAUGAUUUCCAUGUU